rnacentral:lncRNA from 1 species
CCAACAAAAUAAUCACUCAACAAAAUAAUUACCAAACAAAAUUACCAACAAUUAUCAUAAAUUAAUUAUCAAAAAAUAAUUACCAACUAAACGGAGAGGGUGACCACCGACCACCGAUAGCAGCGACCACUGAUUAGAUCUGGACCGAUAGAAGACGGAGACGAAGCUGGGGAGACAGACGGAGACGAAGCUGCUGUAAUGUCGGGAAGGCUGAGACGAAGUGAGUUGCUGCUGGAGUGAACAAAAGGAAAAGGAGUUGGAGUUCAUGUGGGAGUCCAGGAGAAGGAGUUGAAAAUAGAAAGGAAAAGGAGUUGAAAGGGAGUGCUGGAACGGCUAGAACGGAUCUGUGAAAGCGAAGAAGGAAAAUGAUUUGAAAGGGAGUGCUGGAACGGAUCUGUGAAAGUGAGUGGAAGAAGGAAAAGGAUUUGAAAGGGAGUGCUGGAACGGCUGGAACGGAUCUGUGAAAGCGAAGAAGGAAAAGGAUUUGAGAAGGGAGUGCUGGAACGGAUCUGUGAAAGCGAGUGGAAGAAGGAAAAGAAUUUGAAAGUGAGUGCUUUUUCACA